rnacentral:rRNA from 1 species
AUUGAACGCUGGCGGCAGGCCUAACACAUGCAAGUCGAACGCGUGGCGGACGGGUGAGUAACGUCUGGGAAACUGCUUGAUGGAGGGGGAUAACUACUGGAAACGGUAGCUAAUACCGCAUACCAUCAGAUGUGCCCAGAUGGGAUUAGCUAGUUGGUGGGGUAACGGCUCACCAAGGCGACGAUCCCUAGCUGGUCUGAGAGGAUGACCAGCCACACUGGAACUGAGACACGGUCCAGACUCCUACGGGAGGCAGCAGUGGGGAAUAUUGCGCAAUGGGCGAAAGCCUGAUGCAGCCAUGCCGCGUGUGUGAAGAAGGCCUUCGGGUUGUAAAGUACUGUCAUCGGGGAGGCGUUACCCGCAGAAGAAGCACCGGCUAACUCCGUGCCAGCAGCCGCGGUAAUAC